GAAGAAUCCAACAGAUGGUGGGCAGGUGUUAGAGCAUUGCUACAGACUAUGCAAGACAGGUCAAUAUCAUUAUACAAUGAAGACCAGGUAGAAAUCACAUUGGAACCUCUCAUAGAGGAUACCAUUGAUCAAGAAGAUGAGGAUGAGACACAAAUAG